rnacentral:rRNA from 1 species
UUGCAGAGUGCGGAUGAGUGGCGAACCGGGUGAGUAACACGUGGGGAAUCUGCCUGGGAGUGGGGGAUAACAUUCGGAAACGGAUGCUAAUACCGCAUAUCUUCUUAGACUGCAUGGUCUAUGAAUGAAAGACGGCUUUGCUGUCGCUCUUAGAUGAUCCCGCGGCGUAUUAGUUAGUUGGUGGGGUAAAGGCCUACCAAGACAAUGAUACGUAGCCGACCUGAGAGGGUGAUCGGCCACACUGGGACUGAGACACGGCCCAGACUCCUACGGGAGGCAGCAGUAGGGAAUCUUCCACAAUGGGUGCAAACCUGAUGGAGCAAUGCCGCGUGAAUGAAGAAGGUCUUCGGAUCGUAAAGUUCUGUUAUUAGUGAAGAACAAAUCGAGGAGUAACUGUCUCGAUUUUGACGGUAACUAACCAGAAAGUCACGGCUAACUACGUGCCAGCAGCCGCGGUAAUACGUAGGUGACAAGCGUUGUCCGGAAUUAUUGGGCGUAAAGGGAGCGCAGGCGGUUGGAAUAGUCUGAUGUGAAAGCCCACGGCUUAACCGUGGAAGGUCAUUGGAAACUGUCCAACUUGAAUGCAGAAGAGGUAAGUGGAAUUCCAUGUGUAGCGGUGAAAUGCGUAGAUAUAUGGAGGAACACCAGUGGCGAAGGCGACUUACUGGUCUGUAAUUGACGCUGAGGCUCGAAAGCGUGGGUAGCGAACAGGAUUAGAUACCCUGGUAGUCCACGCCGUAAACGAUGAGUGCUAAGUGUUGGAGGGUUUCCGCCCUUCAGUGCUGGAGUUAACGCA